rnacentral:lncRNA from 1 species
AAGCAGACUCCCACUGAGUGGGGAGCCUGACGAGGGGCUCGAUCUCACGACCAUGUAAUCAACACCUGAGCCAAAACCAAGAGUUGGAGGCUUAACCGACUGAGCCAUCCAGGUGCCCCUCUGGAGAUUUUUAAAAACAAAUUCCAGACAUCGUACCAUUUCAUCUAUAAAUUCUUCAGCAUUAUACUCAAUUCUUAUUUGAGUCCCUGCAAGCUGAGAGCAUAAUCACAAAGCACAGUUCAUCAUAAGAAAUUCUGUAAAGGUUUAAAACAGUGUGAUCAAACUUGAGAGUGUUGCGAACGUCUGGAAUUACAUAGUCCACACAAGUGUACGUACUGCGUACCCUCCAAGGACUCCUACGUGGACUUUGUUUCACUUAACUGAGUUUUUGGUAAGAACUGGGGGGAAGGACAAUGUUCAGUUACAUGUUUUGGCAAAAACGUAAGAGUGCAAGUUAUUCUUGUUGGUGUUUAAGAGAGAGCCAUUAACCAGGAAGUAGAUUUGGCAUCUUUGUAGAAGAAUUAUCUAGCCUAACCAGAGUUCAUGACACCUAGCCGCUGCACAGGCAGAUGGCAUGAGCUCUUGGUAGGAUUCACUAAGCUGAGCUGGCUUUCAUCAGAAUGGUGUCUCUUAAAAGUGGACAACUGGAGUGAAAGAAGCCAGAUAAAGUAGAGCACAUCCGUUAUGACGUCACUUCAUGAAAGUCUAGAAAACGCAAAUUAAUCUACGGUGUCAGUAAGAGGAUCAGCGUUUGCCUGGGGAUGGGGGCAGGGAGGGCAGAAGGAAAGGAAUCACAUAAGAGAAUAAAAACUUCUAGGAUGGUCACUUAUUGAUUGUGGUGAUGGUUUCACAGACAUUUAGAUUUGACAAAACUUAUCAAAGUGCAUACUUUACAUCUGUCUGGUUUAUUGUAUUUCAAUUAUACCUUCAUAAAUAUGUUUUUUCAAAAAGCAUAGCUGAAGGGCAGAGUGGUGGAAAGCCUGCAGAUGCCCUUCCAGAAGGGCGCGCCUACACUUCCAGGCCCAGGUCACAAGAGGAACUCGAAACGAGAAGAGACAGGAGUCUGCAGGCUGACAACUGUGAGCCCACAGUGAAAAGUCUCCUCAACUACCAAAUGGCACAUGAACGGGAUGUGUUUUUGUCUCACUUUCUACGGAAAGGAAAGGAUCUCAUGAAGGACACCCAGUGAACCAACAGGGAGACCGAGCCCCCUUGCCUGCUUACCAUCCUGCCUGGGUCUCCCUUGCUGCAUAUCCUCCUCCAGCUGUGAAACCCACAGAAACCAACUUCAGUUCGAUGGUCAUCCAGGGUUGGAAACCAGCCUGGAACUUUAGCUUCCUGUCCAAGAAAAUCCAGAUAUAUAGUUUCUUAUACCAUUAUAAUUUCAGAUUUCUUUUUUUUUUUUUUAAUUUUCUUACUUUCUGGUUCUGUGGCUUGGACUACAGAAACUUUCAAUGCCUCCUUUUGUUAAGUAUCUACUGAUCAGGAAACAUGCCCCAUAAUAACAUUAAGAGAAGAUGCUACUUAAUGGGUUCAUGUGAUUAUUUCAUCAAGUGAGAGAUUCUUUCAUAAUUUGAAUAAUUUCAUUCUAUGGGUAGAGUGUUUUGGAAAUGAUGUUAUGAAGUAAGUUCAAUAGCUUGAAAGGUCCAUCCCAUUGUGGGCAGGAUGGAUCUCUGCAGAGAAAUUUCCUUCUCCAACCCCUCAUGGCUCAGUGCAGGGUUUUCACGGAGCACAUGGCCAUGCCACACUCAAGGUGGGCACCCUGCCAAGAUGGGAGGAAUGCUUCCGGGAGGUUGCUAUACUGAUGUUCUGAAGCUGGCCCUAGCUGUGGACGGUGGCAAAUGGACAGGCAACUCUUCCAGCAGAGAAGUUUGAAUGCUCUUUUUCCAGAGACAUGAUGUGAAUGUCAAGCCUCAGCUGACGGUCUGCCAGUAGUGGUGGCAGACUAUUUCUAUGAUCAGUGGAAGGGCCCCGGCAGUACAGGGAAGGAGCUGUGUCACUUUGUAUCACUGUGGCCUUCAAGUCUGGGCACAGGUCAUUAUGAAGUUCUUGAGUGAUGCAAAGAAGACUCUUGGGCACUCCCCUCGGGUGAAUGGGGAAUAGAUGGGAGUAUAGUUUAUGGCAUGAUUCCUAAAAUUAGGCAAUUAGAAGUCUCAGGUUGUCACUUUUGGUGCCUUGAAUGGGAC